GCGGUGGAAGCUCGCCCAGGUGGCACCUGCUGUACUGCUCCAUGGUAGCGCGCUCGUACAGGCCAGCGAUGGGCUGGUAGGGGUUCACUGAUGCGAUGAUGGAGCCGAUGUAGGUCUGCAAGCAGAGGGGAAAGAUCAGAUCAGAAUGAAGGAAGCUACUUCUUCUCCAGCAGCCUGCCUGCCUACUGCUACAUUCGCCACCAUGAUGAUAAUGAACUAACCCUCUGAAGCAGUAAGCAAGCCUCAAUUAAAUGCUUCCAAUGAGUU